rnacentral:misc_RNA from 1 species
GAUGAAGAACGUAGCGAAAUGCGAUAAGUAGUGUGAAUUGCAGAAUUCAGUGAAUCAUCGAGUCUUUGAACGCACAUUGCGCCCUUUGGUAUUCCUUAGGACAUGCCUGUUCGAGCGUCAUUUAAACCUUCAAGCUAAGCUUGGUGUUGGGUGACUGUCCGCUUCACGGCGGACUCGCCUCAAAAUUAUUGGCGGCCGGUACAUUGGCUUCGAGCGCAGCAGAAACGCGAACUCGGGCCCGUCGUAUUGGCUCCCAGAAGCUAUCUUCACAAUUUUGACCUCGGAUCAGGUAGGGAUACCCGCUGAACUUAAGCAUAUCAAUAAGCGGAGGA